rfam:Aedes aegypti strain Liverpool supercont1.764 genomic scaffold, whole genome shotgun sequence.
UGCCCAGAAAAUCAUAUCCUUACCUCCUCAAGGCAUUGGCCGGGGUAUGAGUAACCUUAAGGAAGCUCGGGUAACCAACCCCGGUGAAACUUUACUCGUAUGCUGAAAGGGGAGG